rnacentral:rRNA from 1 species
UACGAAGGGGGCUAGCGUUGCUCGGAAUCACUGGGCGUAAAGCGCACGUAGGCGGCUUUUUAAGUCAGGGGUGAAAUCCUGGAGCUCAACUCCAGAACUGCCUUUGAUACUGGGAAGCUUGAGUCCGGAAGAGGUGAGUGGAACUCCGAGUGUAGAGGUGAAAUUCGUAGAUAUUAGGAAGAACACCAGUGGCGAAGGCGGCUCACUGGUCCGGUACUGACGCUGAGGUGCGAAAGCGUGGGGAGCAAACAGG